rnacentral:siRNA from 1 species
UUGGUAAAAAUACAAACAUAGCA